rnacentral:rRNA from 1 species
AUUGAACGCUGGCGGCAGGCCUAACACAUGCAAGUCGAACGAGUGGCGGACGGGUGAGUAAUGUCUGGGAAACUGCCUGAUGGAGGGGGAUAACUACUGGAAACGGUAGCUAAUACCGCAUACCAUCGGAUGUGCCCAGAUGGGAUUAGCUAGUAGGUGGGGUAACGGCUCACCUAGGCGACGACCCCUAGCUGGUCUGAGAGGAUGACCGGCCACGCUGGGACUGAGACACGGUCCAGGCUCCUACGGGGGGCAGCAGUGGAGAAUAGUGCACAAUGGGCGCAAGCCGGAUGCAGCCAUGCCGCGUAUAUGAAGAAGGCCUACGGGUUGUGAAGUACUUUCAGCGGGGAGGCGUUACUCGCAGAAGAAGCACCGGCUAACUCCGUGCCAGCAGCCGCAGUAAUUC